UACGUAGGUGGCAAGCGUUGUCCGGAAUUAUUGGGCGUAAAGCGCGCGCAGGUGGUUCCUUAAGUCUGAUGUGAAAGCCCACGGCUCAACCGUGGAGGGUCAUUGGAAACUGGGGGGACUUGAGUGCAGAAGAGGAAAGUGGAAUUCCACGUGUAGCGGUGAAAUGCGUAGAGAUGUGGAGGAACACCAGUGGCGAAGGCGACUUUCUGGUCUGUAACUGACGCUGAGGCGCGAAAGCGUGGGGAGCAAACAGG
rnacentral:rRNA from 1 species